UCCUCUCUCAUCUCUCAUACUCUCUUUCUCAUUUCCCAGACCCUUUUCUCUCAUCUUCCUUUUACCUCUACACCCAAUGUCUUCCACAUCCAUCAGACACCAUAUUCAACCGUUGUCCCCAUCCCUAAAAUAUCUUCCCCGCUAGCAGACAUCCAACGAGUGGCUGGAAAGGUGGGUUUCUGUGACUUGCGACGACACCGGAGAAGGCUUUUUGAAGGUAGAUCAUUGAUGGGCGGCUAGGGUUUCGAAGACCGAUCUUUGACGUCACCAGAGAAGGAUUUUUACAUAGAUCUUUGACGGGUGGCUUGGGUUUCGAAGACCAAAGUAGGUGACCGGCGGCUAGGGUUUCGAAGACCCAGAUCUUUGUUGAAGUUCCUGCUGAGGUUGUAGUUUGUACACCCCGAUCGUCGCUUGUGGUAUAAGAUUGUAGUAUAACAGAGCUUUGUGGGCUAUGGCGACGCCGGUGUGUGGUUUGGAGUUCCUUGUCCUUACCGAUCAUCCUUCUUUCAUCCGGUGUGUGCUCUUUCAUCGUGUAACAGGUCUUUCACUAAUCGUCGUUGUUUCAUCAGAUUGUGGGUCAAAAGCAGUCAACGGUUUUGGUUUGGGCUCGGGUUUCGGCUCGACGCGGUGCAACUCGGGUCAAUUUCGGGUUUUGUUUUGGGUCGAAAGCAAUCAACGGACCCGGUUCGGGUCAGCAGCAGUCAAACAAGUCAAAGAUGGUCAACUGAGGACCGGUAAAGUUUAAUCGUAGUGAGUUAUUAUUACGUUAGUUUAGAUUUUAUUUAGUUAACGCGCACCGAGCUCGAACCGAUACUUUAGUGACUUGUUACGUUUGACAAUUUGAUAGAAAUUUUAUAUAUUGUGUUUAUAUUGUUGAAAACUGUUGAGUUUUGAAAAGA